GUGAGAUCUAGCAAUCCUUCCUAAACUUCUCAAGAUCAAGCUAUUCUAUUAUACGUUGAAGAAGGAAAUCAUGAACUCCCAGUUUCUUCUUUGUCUGGCUCCGUAUCACAACUGCAGGUAAGAUUCUCCCCGAGUUCAAGUCAGGAAGCGGUGCAUUUCGGAGUCUUGAAGAAUAUAAGCAGAUGCUGAAAAAAGAGGAAUUAAUAGUGAUU
rnacentral:lncRNA from 1 species